GUCAAUGGCCGCAGGGCUGAACCAGCCAAGUCGCGUGAAGGAUGACGGCCCUACGGGUUGUAAACUUCUUUUGUCAGGGAGCAAUUGGGUCCACGCGUGGGCUUAGCGAGAGUACCUGAAGAAAAAGCAUCGGCUAACUCCGUGCCAGCAGCCGCGGUAAUACGGAGGAUGCGAGCGUUAUCCGGAUUUAUUGGGUUUAAAGGGUGCGCAGGCGGACCAUCAAGUCAGCGGUAAAAUCGUGGGGCCCAACCCCAUCCCGCCGUUGAAACUGGCGGUCUUGAGUGAGCGAGAAGUAUGCGGAAUGCGUGGUGUAGCGGUGAAAUGCAUAGAUAUCACGCAGAACUCCGAUUGCGAAGGCAGCAUACCGGCGCCCAACUGACGCUGAGGCACGAAAGCGUGGGUAUCGAACAGGAUUAGAUACCCUGGUAGUCCACGCAGUAAACGAUGAAUACUAAUUGUUCGGUUCGAUUGAGAGCUGAGUGAUACAGCGAAAGCGUUAAGUAUUCCACCUGGGGAGUACGCCGGCAAC
rnacentral:rRNA from 1 species